rnacentral:sRNA from 1 species
UGGUCAUUCCCUUUCAGAUCUGAAGUCAUCUACUUCACAACCUGUGUUGCCUCUCCUUAGAGGUUGAAGCGUUCCUGGCCUGGAAUGCAGACUCAAGACUCCAAGAACAGGAGCCUCCGUUUGCCAGACGCCCCGUGGCAGCCACAGUGUCCCCUUAAAGGAAGGGAGGUGCAUCCGUGGCAACACCAUGGAAAGAAGUGGUUUCUGUUGGUCCUCAGACAUUCCUUAAGGAAGAAAUCAGCACCUUGAGCUACACUCGCAGCACCUCAUGGGACAGACAUGCUACUUUUCUUCACGGGGAAGUAUGUGCUCAAGGAAUCAGUAUGCGUGCAGCAGAAGAGGACCCAAAAGACUCCUGUCUUCUUUACCCUGAGACUUCCUCUUACCUCCUAAGAGGACAAGUUUUGAUGGAAGACUACUCAGGCAUAAUGCAACAAGCAUAUAUUUGCCACUCAGAAACAACAGAAAGAUGAAAGAUUUUCCCAUAUGGGCAGUAAAUGGCCAGAGUGGACACACGCUUCUCUGAUAAUGGGAACCCCAAGCUUGAGCAUGCACACAGUGUCACCUGAGCAUGCACACAGUGUCACCUGAGCAUGCACACAGUGUCACCCGAGCAUGCACACAGUGUCACCCGAGCAUGCACACAGUGUCACCCGAGCAUGCACACAUUGUCACCUAAGCAUGCACACAGUGUCACCUGAGCAUGCACACAGUGUCACCUGAGCAUGCACACAGUGUCACCUGAGCAUGCACACAGUGUCACCCGAGCAUGCACACAGUGUCACCCGAGCAUGCACACAUUGUCACCUAAGCAUGCACACAGUGUCACCUGAGCAUGCACACAGUGUCACCUGAGCAUGCACACAUUGUCACCUAAGCAUGCACACAGUGUCACCUGAGCAUGCACACAGUGUCACCUGAGCACGCACAGAGUGUCACCUGAGCAUACACACAGUGUCACCUGAGCAUACACACAGUGUCACCUGAUCAUGCACACACUGUCACCUGAUCAUGUACACAGUGUCACUUGAGCAUGCACACGCUGUCACCUGAGCUUGCAUGUACUAUUACCUGAGC